UACGUAGGGUCCGAGCGUUGUCCGGAAUUACUGGGCGUAAAGCGCGCGCAGGCGGCCCGCGAGGUGUCACGUGAAAGCCCCGGGCUCAACCCGGGAGGGGCGUGGCAAACCGGCGGGCUUGAGGCCGGGAGAGGUGGGUGGAACUCCUGGUGGAGUGGUGAAAUGCGUAGAGAUCAGGAAGAACACCCGUGGCGAAGGCGGCCCCCUGGGCCGGUACUGACGCUGAGGCGCGAAGGCGUGGGGAGCGAACGGG
rnacentral:rRNA from 1 species